rnacentral:rRNA from 1 species
AUUGAACGCUGGCGGCAUGCUUUACACAUGCAAGUCGAACGGUAACAGCACUUCGGUGGCUGACGAGUGGCGAACGGGUGAGUAAUACAUCGGAACGUGCCUAGUAGUGGGGGAUAACUACUCUAAAGAGUAGCUAAUACCGCAUGAGAUCUAAGGAUGAAAGCAGGGGACCUUCGGGCCUUGCGCUACUAGAGCGGCUGAUGGCAGAUUAGGUAGUUGGUGGGAUAAAAGCUUACCAAGCCGACGAUCUGUAGCUGGUCUGAGAGGACGACCAGCCACACUGGGACUGAGACACGGCCCAGACUCCUACGGGAGGCAGCAGUGGGGAAUGUUGGACAAUGGGCGCAAGCCUGAUCCAGCAAUGCCGCGUGCAGGAUGAAGGCCUUCGGGUUGUAAACUGCUUUUGUACGGAACGAAAAGCCCUCUUCUAAUACAGGAGGGUCAUGACGGUACCGUAAGAAUAAGCACCGGCUAACUACGUG